rnacentral:tRNA from 2 species
ACGGGUGUGGCGAAAUUGGUAGAUGCCCAGAUUUAAGUUCUGGCGCCGCAAGGUUGUGAGUUCAAGCCUCUUCAUCCGUACCA